rnacentral:rRNA from 1 species
AUGCAUGCUUUUAAUACCUUUGUCAAGCAAUGUGGUCUUUUUGAUAUGGGUUAUAGUGGUCCAACCUAUACGUGGAUGAACAAAAGAUUUUCUUCCACUCCCAUAUUUUGAAGGCUCGACCGAUGUCUGGCCAAUGCUGAAUGGUGUGCGCUUUUUCCCAAUACAAAUGUCUUCAAUUUGCCUAUCAUGCUUAGAGAUCAUGCUCCUAUCCUUGUUUCCACUCAAUCUAAUUUUCACAAACCUAGACUUACUUUUAAAUUUGAGAAUUGGUGGACUUUUGAAGAUGACUUCCAAACUAUAGCUAAAAAUUCAUGGGAAACUAGUGCGAACAAAUCCUUCUAUGCCAGAUCAACUAACCUUGCAGGUACUUUAAAAAAAUGGUGCAAGAAGAAGAAGCCGAUCCAGCAACAACUAGAUUGCUUGCAAAGUCAGAUCAACCAAAUACAAAUGCAACCACGCAGCAACAGGAUCAUGAUCUGGAAGCAAAGCUGGUAG